UAGUCCUGGCGUCAGGAUGAACGCUGGCUACAGGCUUAACACAUGCAAGUCGUGGGGAAACGGCAUUAUGUGCUUGCACAUUCUGGACGUCGACCGGCGCACGGGUGAGUAUCGCGUAUCCAACCUGCCCCUUACUUCGGGGAUACCCCGUUGAAAGACGGCCUAAUACCCGAUGUGUUUCAUUGACGGCAUCCGAUAUGAACAAAGGUUUUCCGGUAAGGGAUGGGGAUGCGUCUGAUUAGCUUGUUGGCGGGGCAACGGCCCACCAAGGCGACGAUCAGUAGGGGUUCUGAGAGGAAGGUCCCCCACAUUGGAACUGAGACACGGUCCAAACUCCUACGGGAGGCAGCAGUGAGGAAUAUUGGUCAAUGGACGCAAGUCUGAACCAGCCAAGUAGCGUGCAGGAUGGACGGCCCUAUGGGUUGUAAACUGCUUUUAUGUGGGAAUAAAUUGGCGCACGUGUGCGCCAUUGCAUGUACCUCAUGAAUAAGGACCGGCUAAUUCCGUG
rnacentral:rRNA from 1 species